UUAAACCUAUCCUAUCCAUGUCCAUGUACCUGUCCCAAUAUAUCUUAAAACGUAUGAUGGUACCUGCCUCAACUAUCUCCUCCAGCAGCUCGUUCCAUAUACCCACCACCCUUUGUGUGAAAAUGUUACCCCUUAGGUUCCUGUUAAAUCUUUCCCCACUCACCUUAAAAUGCCUGCUUGUUCUUGAUCCCCUUGUUCUGGACAUUUACCCAAUUAUUCCCUCUCCUUAAUCUUAUCUGCCAGAAGUAUUUCAUGCAGACGCGCCAAGACAUCCGGGACCCUGGCACCCAUCAUGGAGUCUCGUUUGCUGCCGCAGUAUUUCCUGUCUGUCGUCCUAACUAUUGAGUCUCCCAUCGCUUGUCUGACUUCAUCGUUUCCUCCUGUGCCUCAGCCAGACCUGGUGUCUUAGUCUUGGCUGUUGCUGCUCUCCCUCGAUUGUGGGCCGAAGGGCCUGUUUCCAUGUUGUAUCUCAAACCAAACUAAACUUGCCCUCCCUACUACACACAGCCCUUGGCCUGCACACACAUCUUGUUCCAAAAUGGCCGCUCCUGAGGGCUGCUCCAUCCUUGGACACACCACUGGGAGCAGUCGCUUCCAAACACUGAUGGCUGCUUGUCAAAUCACCCGCUGCUCCUCCUCUCAGCUGCUCAUUAGACAGUGCCUCACACUAACGGCUGCUUUUUAAAUCCAUUUCAAUAAAAAUCUAAAGUUCUGAAGAAGGGUCCUGGCCUGAAACGUUGUCCGUCCAUUCCCUCCACAGAUGAGCUGCCUACUCACUGCUGAAACUAAUGACAUAACAGUCCCCACACCUUGGAUUAGAUCCGUCUGUAAACCCUCUCAGGGGGGGUUGUUAGUGGAAAAUCUAACCAUCAGGCUGUGAGGGUAACCUGGGAGACAGUAGGUUCCCUUAAACAUGUGUUGUUGUCUGUGUGGGCCCAUAGAAGAUGGGAUUGGUCUUAAAUGAACACUUCUCAUCUGUACCAUGGAGAAGGAGAGGACCAAAGGGUACACUACCACCUUGAAUAUGACAACACUCAGGCCUUUUUCAUCAUAGCCGGUCUGAAGAAGGAUCCUGGCCUGAAACAUCACCUAACCAUGUUCUCCAGAGAUGCUGCCUGACCUGCUGAGUUACUCCAGCACUUUGUGUCUUUCCUUGGUAAACCAGCAUCUGCAGUUCCUUGUUUAUAAUAGCCAGGGACUUAAAUCAGCUGAGCCACAAGAGCCUGCUGCCAAAAUACUAUCAGCACGUUUGCAGUAACUCUUGAAUUGACCUUUUGUAUGUUAAGGAUUAGUAUUGGGAUCUCCCAGUCUACUUUGUUGCAGCCCUUGCAUUCUUUAUAUCUCUGUACUUUCUCUAUAGUUCUGCAGCACCACAACACCAUACUCUGCACUCUAUUUAUUUUUUCUCUGUUGCCCCAACUGGUAUACUCAUGUAUUGUAUGAUUUGCACGGAUAGCAUACAAAACAAGCUUUUUCAUUGUGUCUCAUGACAAUAAUAAAGAAAAAGCAAUCAACCACCUUGAUUAGAUCCUGGCCUGUAACUCACCCAGGGCUUUGAUAUUCCAUAUAUAAACCUCCCCCCCCCCACCAUCCGAUUCUCUGGAUUCGAUCUAAGGCUGUGACCCACUCCCGGGGAUGUGUUUGAUUAUGUAAACCUACCCCCCUCCCUUCUCCAUGAACCCCUGGUUUAGUUCCCAGCCUGUGACCCACUGCCGGGAACCUGAUUUAGUCACUCCUGCCCAGUGGCCAGGGUGCCCCGCGGGGCCAGGUGCUGGUGUGUGAAGGGUUAAGGUCAGUGUCGCUGACGCUGUGGUCCCAGUGUUUACCUGUGGUUCUGUCAGAGGCUGGGCUGAGCUGGGCUGCCGCUGACCAGAGCCGAUCUGCUGAUCACACACUGACCAGAGUUGCUGUGUCAGGGAUCCAGGGGCGGCUGAAACUUCCAGUGAGAGUGAUCGCUGCCCUGCUCUACACGUCUCCGUCUCUACGCAACACAUGUGCGGCCUGAGCUGGUUCCCACGGGGGGCGUUGCUGAGAGGCUGGCUGCCCCGGCCCAGGCCCAGGCUGCUGCUGCUGCUGCUCGGACUACGCAAGCCCAGGGUCAACCUGAUGCGUCGCAAGAGGAUGAAGACCACCAAGGUGGUGAAGGCAGCCUGACCGGCUUGGCCAAGAAGCUGUGUGCAGCUGAAUCCCAGUGUAGCCGAUCAGUGUCUGAGCCAUGGCCGGGGUCACCGUCUGCUCUCCGCCCGGGUCCCGUCUGAUGUCUACCCCAGUGUCUGGCCUUGGGAGCUGCUCCUCCCGGCCCAGGGUGUGGGGUGGGGGAGGUUGAUGCCCCCGCUCGGGGUUUGUACAACAGCAUCAGCCACACCCACGUGGCCACCCUAGUGUGGUUAUGUGUGCUGUUACACUCGCAUGGUCACACUUCUACUGUUACACUUGUGUGGGGACAUGUAAUAAUAAUAUAAUAAUAUCUUUUAUUGUCAUUGUACAUAAGCGCAACGAGAUUUGGUAUGCAGCUUCCAUCCGAUGUCAUAACUUAAAUAACUAAUAAAAUAUUGAUUUAGAUACCCCGAGAACAUGGAUUGUAAAAAGGACAGUAAAAUAGUCAAAACAGUUCAAACAGACUAAAGUGCAGAUGUGUCUGUGCGACGUGACCAUCCGAGGGAGACAGUCCAUGGGGAGGGGGGGGCACUCAGCAGGGCCGGUUCAGAGUCGCUAUAGCUCUGGGAAUUAAGCUGUUCCUGAGUCUGGAGGUUCGGGCGUAGAAGGCCUUGUAACGUCUGCCGAAGGGAAAUAGUUCGAAUAGUCCAUUACAAGGGUGUGAGGAUUCUUUAUGGAUGCUGACGGCCUUCCUGAGGCACCGUGUGUGCUGUUACAUGCGUGUGGUCAUAUCUGCGAGUCACACGUGUGCUGUCACGUUAUGCUAUCACACUCGUGUGCACUGUGGGUCAGGUAUGAGCAUGCAUGGGUUUUGAGAGUGGGCUUCCAUGCGGGUCAGGGACACAUAUGUGUGCAA